ensembl:lncRNA
UUGUUAAAACACAAGAAUAGACUUUGGAAAGAAAAGUAUUGCAUGANUUAUUUUAAAAAAACACCCCACACCAGAUCACAUAAUGUAAAAAAAAAUAAUAAUAAAAAAUUGUCUUGCAACUAUUCAUCUUUUCUUGAGACACAACAGUAGCCACUUAAAGCUGUCACGAUACAGCUACAACAUUUAGUAAUUAAUUUAUUUAUCUUUUUUUUCUCAUUCUCUCCAUUACUGAACAGGCAUAAAGAACGACUCAAGCAGACCGGGCAGUGGAUCAGGGCCUUGCCCUCCCGCAGUUGAGACCUCCAACGGCCGAGAAGUUCAUUAAGUUUUAUGAUCUUCCUCCAGUCACUUCUGCUUAUAAGCCACACAAAGGCCACAAAUCUGGCAAAGCAUUAUUCUGCCUAUACAACCACACAGAGACAUGAUAAAUACAUUAACUCACAUCUGAAUGCCAUUGCAUUGCUGUAUUCAUCUUUGUUCAAAAACUAGAUUUAAGAUAGUAUGUGAAAUGAUCAUCUCUUGCUUUUUUCAAAAAUUAAAUGAAUCAUUUGUAAACCUGUUUAUAAAGUUCAUACAUAGGCUAUACAUAUAAAGUUUAUUUAAAAAAAAUAGCACUCAAAAACAUUAAUUUCAUCUUAAUUUCAACAUGCUAUAAAAUACGCUUUAAUUUUCUUAUGCUAAAAAUGAAAAAGUAAAGACAAAAGCACAGUUAUUAUUCUAAUUCAGUGCGUUUGCCAUUGUAUUUUGGCUCACCUUACAGGUUUCGCUCUGCUAUUCUCCUUCCGCAUUAUCCAGAAAUACAUACUGCACAUUCCUGGUAAAUGCCCCUUAUCUUAGGGUCUCUCUGGAUUCUGCAUAUCUGGUUAAGUGGUCAUUCUCUCUUAAUACCUGCGCCCUGCAUGAUUGCAGAACGCGCGCGCCUUUGCGCACAUUACGCGCGUUUGUUAACCGUGGCAGCAUAAAGGAAAAACUGCACAUUAAAUUGCAUCCACUAAGCACUGGACGUUCUGAUCUGAUUCUCUUCCCUCAAAGAAAAAAAAAAAACUGUCUUUUGUGAGACAGUGACAUAUGCUAAUGUUCCGUGUCAUUGGGGCAGGCGGUAAAGCAUUGGUAACGCACGUGCUGAAUUGAUGCUGUAUCUGUCAUUGGACUUCAUUUACAGUGCGCGCGACAGACUAUUUCAGAGGUGCUUGAGUGUCAGAAAAAGUGGAAAUAGGAUAUUUCUGUUUGUUAUAGAUAUUCCUAUGCACUCAAAAAUAUUGUUUUCUCCAUUUCUAUAACACACUACUAAUUACAAUUAAGUGAUGUCACACACGAGUCACAGGGAAGUAAACAUUUUGCACAAUAACGUGCGUUCCUGUUUAUGCCACAAAAAAUCAUUUAUAAAAGGUCCC